rnacentral:tmRNA from 1 species
GGGGCUGAUUCUGGAUUCGACGGGAUUCGCGAAACCCAAGGUGCAUGCCGAGGGGCGGUUGGCCUCGUAAAAAGCCGCAAAAAAAUAGUCGCAAACGACGAAAACUACGCUUUAGCAGCUUAAUAACCUGCUUAGAGCCCUCUCUCCCUAGCCUCCGCUCUUAGGACGGGGAUCAAGAGAGGUCAAACCCAAAAGAGAUCGCGUGGAUGCCCUGCCUGGGGUUGAAGCGUUAAAACUAAUCAGGCUAGUCUGGUAGUGGCGUGUCCGUCCGUAGCUGCCAGGCGAAUGUAAAGACUGGACUAAGCAUGUAGUACCGAGGAUGUAGGAAUUUCGGACGCGGGUUCAACUCCCGCCAGCUCCACCA